UAAUAGCUCACUAGUCGAGAGGUCCUGCGCCGAAAAUGUCCGGGGCUGAAACACAACACCGAAGCUUAGGAAUGUCAUAUGACAUUGGUAGAGGAGCAUUCUUAAAGGAGCGAAGCAGUACCGAUAAGGAGCUGUGGACUUUUAAGAAGAGAGAAUGCCGGAAUGAGUAGCGAGAUGGAGGUGGGAAUCCUCCAGGCCGAAUAUCCAAGGUUUCCAGAGUAAAGCUGAUCUGCUCUGGGUAAGUCGGGGCCUAAGGCGAGGCUGAGAGGCGUAGUCGAUGGACAACAGGUUGAAAUUCCUGUACCAUGUAUCAUCAGAACUGUGGGGACACAGAAGGACAACACAUCCCGGGAAUGGGAAUACCGGGGCAAGCGGGGUAGGAGUACGGUUGGCAAAUCCGCCGUGCAAUCCGAAUACGUGACGCGGAGCGAACGAAAGUAGCGAAGUGUGUGAUUCCGGCUGUCAAGAAAAGCCGCUAUAGUGUGAUACAUGCCCGUACCGUAAACCGACACAGGUAGAUGAGGAGAGAAUCCUAAGGCCGGCGGGAGAAGCAUUGUUAAGGAACUCGGCAAAAUGACCCCGUAACUUCGGGAGAAGGGGUGCCACAGAGAUGUGGCCGCAGAGAAUAGGCUCAAGCAACUGUUUAGCAAAAACACAGGUCUAUGCAAAACCGUAAGGUGAGGUAUAUGGGCUGACGCCUGCCCGGUGCUGGAAGGUUAAGAGGAGAGGUUAGAGAAAUCGAAGCUUUGAAUUUAAGCCCCAGUAAACGGCGGCCGUAACUAUAACGGUCCUAAGGUAGCGAAAUUCCUUGUCGGGUAAGUUCCGACCCGCACGAAAGGCGUAAUGAUUUGGGCACUGUCUCAACAAUGCACCCGGUGAAAUUGAAAUACCAGUGAAGAUGCUGGUUACCUGCGCCAGGACGGAAAGACCCCAUGGAGCUUUACUCCAGCUUGAUACUGGGAUUCGGUAUUGCAUGUACAGGAUAGGUGGGAGGCUGUGAAGAGAGGACGCCAGUCUUCUUGGAGCCACUGUUGGGAUACCACCCUUGUGAUACUGGAUUUCUAACCAGCCACCGUGAUCCGGUGGUGGGACAAUGUCAGGUGGGGAGUUUGACUGGGGCGGUCGCCUCCGAAAGGGUAUCG
rnacentral:rRNA from 1 species